UACGAAGGGGGCUAGCGUUGUUCGGAAUCACUGGGCGUAAAGCGCACGUAGGCGGACUUUCAAGUCAGGGGUGAAAUCCCGGAGCUCAACUUCGGAAUUGCCUUUGAUACUGUUGGUCUCGAGUCCGGAAGAGGUGGGUGGAAUUCCUAGUGUAGAGGUGAAAUUCGUAGAUAUUGGGAAGAACACCAGUGGCGAAGGCGGCUAACUGGUCCGGUACUGACGCUGAGGUGCGAAAGCGUGGGGAGCAAACAGG
rnacentral:rRNA from 1 species